rnacentral:siRNA from 1 species
ACCAAGCCGUGAUGGGCCGAGCAG